rnacentral:rRNA from 1 species
AUCAAUGAGGGUGAGAGUCCUGUUUGUCAUGUGCAGCCUUCUGUGCACGGUGUAUAUUUGCUGAGUCACACUCCUUGGCAUUGGAAUGCAAAGUGGGUGGUAAGUUUCAUGCAAAGGUAAAUAUGCAAUUGAGACUGAUAGCGCACAAGUACCAUGAGGGACAUAUGAAAAGGACUUUGAAAAGAGAAUUAAAUGAGUUUGUAUUUGCUAAACACAAAGUAAACAGACUUGAUUUCCUCAGUGAGAUUGUAGUGCUUGCUUAACAAUGGGUUUUGGCUGCAAGUGCAAUAAUUCUUGCUUUGUGUGCCAGUUUUUAUGUGGACAUUUGAUUACCUUUGCACAUGAAUGGUAAUUUUCCUGCGGGGUGUGGAUUGCAUAUGCAUGUAAUGAUUUGCAUGUUUGUUAAAUGUGUCUGGUGUAUUUGUUUGUGUCCUUGUCCUUGAGGUUGCUUUCUCCCUUGGGCUUACAUGCCCUGGCACACACAUUCUGGCAAAAUGCUUCUGCUUGACCCGUCUUGAAACACGGACCAAGGAGUCUAACAGAUGUGCAAGUUUGAAGGUGGUAUACCUGUGUGUGUAAUGAAAGUAUUGGCUGGGAUAUUUGCACCAGCAGCCGACUAAUUAGCAGACAGAGGUUUGAGUUGGAGCAUAUCUAUUAGGACCCGAAAGAUGGUGAACUAUGCUUGAACAGAAAGAAUUCAGAGGAAACUCUGAUGGAGGUUCGUAUCGAUACUGACGUGCAAAUCGUUCGUCAUAUUUGGGUAUAGGGGCGAAAGACUAAUCGAACCAUCUAGUAGCUGGUUCCCUCCGAAGUUUCCCUCAGGAUAGCUGGAGUUGCACAGUUUUAUCAGGUAAAGCGAAUGAUUAGAGGAAUUGGGGACAGAUGUGUCCUUGACCUAUUCUCAAACUUUAAAUGGGUAAUAUGUAGUGGUUGCUUGAUGGAACUUCUAAAAUGAAUGGCAAUAUUAGGUGGGCCAUUUUUGGUAAGCAGAACUGGCGAUGAGGGAUGAACCUAAUGCUGGGUUAAGGGGCUUAAUU